GACAACUUGAAGUGGGGAGAAGUCUUCCAGGUCACAGGUGGGAAGAUUGUAUUUCCCUUCUCCUUGAGGUUAGACACAGUUACAUGGCUAGUUGAGCCAACAGAAGAGGAGCCGAAGUGAAAUAUGACACUUCCAAGUGAAAGACUAUAACUGCUGAUGCUUUUCUCUCAUCCCUGCCAAGAGCACAAUCACAGAGGUUCAUAUCCAUAUGAAGGCAGUAUCAGAGUGGAGGAGCUUGGAAUGCUGAGCAAACACACGGAGGAACGCUGCUGUGGUGCAUUACAUGGACUCCAGCAGGCUUCGCAUGAGUGACAAAUACACUUCAGUCAAGCCACUGAGAUUAGGCAGUUUGUCCUGCAGCACAGUCUAGCCUAUUUGGAUGUAUCUGAGUUUAGUCAUGGUAGCAUUAUGCAUCCUUGUAGCUGGGAGGGUCAAGUAACAGUUCUAGCAAACAAAAUAUAAAUUGAGGUGACUGGGCAAGUGAGCCUUCUAGGAAAAGCCUUUUAAAGAAACAAAUUCAGCUGGCAUGAGCAGUUUCUAUUUUUGUCCUUCAUUUUCUUGCCUGGAAUGUAGACAUGAUGGCUGGAACUGUAGGAGUUAUCUUGACAGCAUGAGGACUAGGGUCCCAUCCAAUGGUGCAGUGUGGACAGAGGAAAGGAGAUGGGACCCUGCUGACAUCAUGGAGCUGCCAUACUUUGGACUUCCCACAUCUGGGAUUCAUUUACGGGAGAGGAAAACAAACUUUUGUGUUGUUUAACCCACUGUUUUUCAAGUUUCUAUUCCUAACAGCCCAGUGCAAUUUUUAACUGUUAUGGAAGGUACAGAAGUAAUUUUAAUUCUUCCAGUAUUUAUACUAUUAGUUUUUCAUAUUUUUAUUGUGGAAACUUUCAAACAUAUCCAAAAAUACAGACAGUAGUCAUCAUCCAGCUUCAGCAAUGAUCAACUCAUAGCCAAUCAUGC
rnacentral:lncRNA from 1 species